rnacentral:rRNA from 1 species
GACGAACGCUGGCGGCGUGCCUAAUACAUGCAAGUCGAGCGGGGAUUAUGCUUGAUCGCUUCGGUGAGACGGCAUAUAUCCUAGCGGCGGACGGGUGAGUAACGCGUGGGUAAUCUACCUCGUAGUUCGGGAUAACAGGCCGAAAGGCUUGCUAAUACCGGAUGAGUUCAUGCUUAUGCAUAUAGGCAUGAAGAAAGGGCUAGCCCGCUAUGAGAUGAGCCCGCGUCCCAUUAGCUUGUUGGUGGGGUAAUGGCCUACCAAGGCAACGAUGGGUAGCCGGCCUGAGAGGGUGUACGGCCACACUGGGACUGAGACACGGCCCAGACUCCUACGGGGGCAGCAGUAGGGAAUUUUCGGCAAUGGGCGGAAGCCUGACCGAGCGACGCCGCGUGAGGGACGAAGGCCUUCGGGUUGUAAACCUCUGUCUGGGGGAUGAGAACGGACGGUACCCCGGAGGAAGCCCCGGCUAACUACGUG